UUUCAAAUCAUUUUCAUCUCUCUCAUUUUGAUCUUUAGCAUAUCCAUUCAUGUGCAAGUAAUCUUUCCGAUUUGGAUCCUCCAACAGCAUCAUUCCAUCACAAGAAGAUCUUCCAUCAGGCAUUGAUGUUUUUCUCCAUCAUCGUGUUCAAUCCGAUUUUGUUCUCAUGCUACGUUCUUCUCAAACGGUUUUAUUUUUUCCGAUUCAUUCUUCUCAUUCUUCAUCUCCCACUUCUGUAAGUUUCAGUCUUUAUUUGCAAUAUGCAUGUUGUUAUCACUUAUUCAAUAGAUGAAAGUUACUCACUUUAUUUUCCUUUUAUAAUUUAUGCAUGUUUUGUUCUUUGCUAUUGAUUAACUAUUAUUAUCAAAAAUUAUUUUUCUUCAUAAACUUUAAAGUCAUCUCCUUGGUUAUUUCUCUA